AGAGUUUGAUCCUGGCUCAGCCUGAACGCUGGCGGCGUGGCUAAGACAUGCAAGUCGUACGGAACCCGCAAGGGUUUAGUGGCGAACGGGUGAGUAAUGAAUCGCUAACGUGUCCUCCUGUCUGGGAUAGCCAGUCGAAAGAUUGGGUAAUACCGGAUGAGACCACAGAUAGGCAUCUAUCGGUGCUCAAAGGGAAACCGCAGGUGGAGCGGGCGAUUUCGUAUCAGCUAGUUGGUAAGGUAACGGCUUACCAAGGCGACGACGCGUAGCCGGCUGAGAGGUCGGCCGGCCACAUUGGGACUGAGACACUGCCCAGACUCCUACGGGGGGCUGCAGUAACGAAUCUUCCACAAUGCACGCAAGUGUGAUGGAGCGACGCCGCGUGUAGGACGAAGUCCUUCGGGAUGUAAACUACUGUCAGGGGAAAGAAAGUUCUGACCUACCCCAGAGGAAGAGGCGGCUAACUCUGUGCCAGCAGCCGCGGUAAGACAGAGGCCUCGAGCGUUAGGCGGAAUCACUGGGCUUAGAGCGUGUGUAGGCGGAAGCGUAAGUACCUUGUGAAAUCCCACGGCUCAACCGUGGAACUGCUGGGUAUACUGCGUUUCUUGAGCCAUUUAGGGGCGAGUGGAACGGAUGGUGGAGCGGUGAAAUUCAUAGAUAUCAUCCGGAACGCCUGUGGUGAAGACGACUCGCUGGGAAUGUGCUGACGCUGAGACACGAAAGCCAGGGGAGCAAACGGGAUUAGAUACCCCGGUAGUCCUGGCCCUAAACGAUGUCCACUAGAUUGCAGCGGCUCUGACGCUGUUGCGGUCGAAGCAAAAGUGUUAAGUGGACCGCCUGGGAAGUACGGUCGCAAGGCUAAAACUCAAAGGAAUUGACGGGGGCUCACACAAGCGGUGGAGCAUGUGGUUCAAUUCGAAGCAACGCGCAGAACCUUACCUGGGCUUGACAUGCAUUGUCCAAUCCGUGAAAGCGGGUGGCGUAGCAAUACGCGAAGUGCACAGGUGCUGCAUGGCUGUCGUCAGCUCGUGUCGUGAGAUGUCGGGUUAAGUCCCUUAACGAGCGAAACCUUUGCCCUUAGUUACUAACGGGUUAUGCCGAGGACUCUAAGGGGACUGCCGGUGUCAAACCGGAGGAAGGUGGAGAUGACGUCAAGUCCUCAUGGCCUUUAUGUCCAGGGCUACACACGUGCUACAAUGGCGAGCAUAAAGCGAACCCAAAGCGCGAGCUGGAGGAAAUCGCAAAAAUCUCGCCCCAGUUCAGAUCGGAGGCUGCAACUCGCCUCCGUGAAGUUGGAAUCGCUAGUAAUCGCGGGUCAGCUACACCGCGGUGGAUGUGUUCCUGAGCCUUGUACACACCGCCCGUCAAGUCAUGGGAGCCGGAAAUAGCCGAAGUCGCCUCAUCACAGAGGUGCCUACGCUAGGUUCGGUGACUGGGACUAAG
rnacentral:rRNA from 1 species